CAGGUUUUUGCUGUCAUAGGUGGUGUACUUUGGCCACCAAGUAAAAUUAAGUUUUUUCAUCAACAUAAAUAGACCUAAACAAGUCUGUCAUUUUCUGACUUAAAUAAGUCUAAAAUUGAAAACACAUUUUAUAAUAAAUACAUGUUUUGACUUCUUUAAGUCAAAAACAAAAAUGGACUUGUUUAUGUCUGAGCUUUGACUG
rnacentral:lncRNA from 1 species